UACAGAGGUCUCAAGCGUUGUUCGGAUUCAUUGGGCGUAAAGGGUGCGUAGGCGGCGCGGUAAGUCGGGUGUGAAAUCUCGGGAGCUUAACUCCGAAACUGCAUUCGAUACUGCCGUGCUUGAGGACUGGAGAGGAGACUGGAAUUUACGGUGUAGCGGUGAAAUGCGUAGAUAUCGUAAGGAAGACCAGUGGCGAAGGCGGGUCUCUGGACAGUUCCUGACGCUGAGGCACGAAGGUCAGGGGAGCAAAACGGG
rnacentral:rRNA from 1 species